rnacentral:lncRNA from 1 species
UUUUUAAUUGCAUGAAUAUAUGUAUAGAUAUGAAUGAUUCUUGUUAAUAUAAAAAUAAAUAUAUAAAAAAUAAUGAAAAAAAAAACAACCAAUGAAAUCGCAUGAAUAUGUAUGUAUUGGUUUUAAGAAAUUAAUGUAAUUGCCAUUUUGCCGGGGCGCAAAACUCGAAAGCCCAAACCUAGUUACAAAUCCGAACAACAACCCAAGCCUAAUUAUUAACCCUAAGCCCAAACUCAAGCCCACAAAUUAAAAUUUUUCAACAAAGAAAC